GUGACGAUGGAGCGAUUGUCUUUUGGUGCCAGCUGCUCCCAUUUGGUGUUUGUGCUCAACUUAUUCCGGAACAACUGGAGUCUUCCGGCGAAGACGGAACUACGUCUAUUGGAAUCCAGCUCGGCCGGCGAGCCGGCCUCGGGGGAGGAUGGAUCGGCGAAAGCGCAUCCCGUCAUAAACUUGGCAACGUUUUCCCUCCCUCCUUUUCCCCCUCUUAAAUGUCAGUUAAUGUCGUCUGUAAAGCACGUUGAAUUCUGGGCUUUCACUCUUUCUCUCUCGUGUUAAACUGAUUUGUUCGUGAUUGCCCAAAGUCCAUUUACUUGGUUUAAGGACCCGCGUGUGUGUGUGUGUCACUCUUCUUAUUCUAAGAGACGUCACUCGAGUUGUAUCAAGUGUGUGACGAUAUAUCCGGCAUUUGUGUGUCAUAGGACACUAAUUGGUAUGUGUUAAUAAUGAAUUCAUGUCAAUCACCUUAAUUAUAAUGUAUGUUCCCUCCCAGGCCUAUUCACCUCUGGGUGUUGACCCUGUGUUCGAGUGAUUCUCACCUUGUGUGUAGCCUGUCUUCACAGGAACCACCACUUCCAUUAUCAUAAGUACACCGUGUUCAUUUAUAUGAGCACAAGUCAAGUCGAACACAAUACAAGAGAUUUUGCUCUUA